UACGUAGGGGGCAAGCGUUGUCCGGAUUUAUUGGGCGUAAAGCGCUCGCAGGUGGUCCGAUGCGUCGUGCGUGAAAGACCCCGGCUCAACUGGGGAGUGUCGUGCGAUACGGUCGGACUGGAGGCCAGUAGGGGGAUGCGGAAUUCCGGGUGUAGUGGUGGAAUGCGUAGAGAUCCGGAGGAACACCAGCGGCGAAGGCGGCAUCCUGGACUGGUCCUGACACUCAUGAGCGAAAGCGUGGGGAGCGAGCCGG
rnacentral:rRNA from 1 species